UACGUAGGGUGCGAGCGUUAAUCGGAAUUACUGGGCGUAAAGCGUGCGCAGGCGGUUAUAUAAGACAGAGGUGAAAUCCCCGGGCUCAACCUGGGAACUGCCUUUGUGACUGUAUAGCUUGAGUGCGGCAGAGGGGGAAGUGGAAUUCCGGGUGUAGCGGUGAAAUGCGUAGAUAUCCGGAGGAACACCGAUGGCGAAGGCAGCUUCCUGGCCCACAACUGACGCUGAGGUGCGAAAGCGUGGGGAGCGAACAGG
rnacentral:rRNA from 1 species